AUGCAGUCGAGCGAAUGGAUUAAGAGCUUGCUCUUAUGAAGUUAGCGGCGGACGGGUGAGUAACACGUGGGUAACCUGCCCAUAAGACUGGGAUAACUCCGGGAAACCGGGGCUAAUACCGGAUAACAUUUUGAACCGCAUGGUUCGAAAUUGAAAGGCGGCUUCGGCUGUCACUUAUGGAUGGACCCGCGUCGCAUUAGCUAGUUGGUGAGGUAACGGCUCACCAAGGCAACGAUGCGUAGCCGACCUGAGAGGGUGAUCGGCCACACUGGGACUGAGACACGGCCCAGACUCCUACGGGAGGCAGCAGUAGGGAAUCUUCCGCAAUGGACGAAAGUCUGACGGAGCAACGCCGCGUGAGUGAUGAAGGCUUUCGGGUCGUAAAACUCUGUUGUUAGGGAAGAACAAGUGCUAGUUGAAUAAGCUGGCACCUUGACGGUACCUAACCAGAAAGCCACGGCUAACUACGUGCCAGCAGCCGCGGUAAUACGUAGGUGGCAAGCGUUAUCCGGAAUUAUUGGGCGUAAAGCGCGCGCAGGUGGUUUCUUAAGUCUGAUGUGAAAGCCCACGGCUCAACCGUGGAGGGUCAUUGGAAACUGGGAGACUUGAGUGCAGAAGAGGAAAGUGGAAUUCCAUGUGUAGCGGUGAAAU
rnacentral:rRNA from 1 species